UACGUAGGGACCGAGCGUUGUCCGGAAUUAUUGGGCGUAAAGCGCGCGCAGGCGGCCUUUUAAGUCUGAUGUGAAAGCCCACGGCUCAACCGUGGAAGGUCAUUGGAAACUGGAAGGCUUGAGUACAGAAGAGGAAAGCGGAAUUCCACGUGUAGCGGUGAAAUGCGUAGAGAUGUGGAGGAACACCAGUGGCGAAAGCAGCUCUCUGGGACGGUACUGACGCUGAGACGCGAAAGCGUGGGGAGCGAACAGG
rnacentral:rRNA from 1 species